AUUGAACGCUGGCGGCAGGCCUAACACAUGCAAGUCGAGCGCGCGGCGGACGGGGGAGGAAUGUAUGGGGACUGUCCGAGAGGGGGGGAUAACGACUGGAAACGGGAGCUAAUACAGCAGACUAGCGGAUAACCCAUAUGUGAUUAGCGAGUAGGGGAGGUAAUGGCUCACCUAGGCGACGAUCCCUAGCUGGUCUGAGAGGAUGAUCGGCCACACUGGUACUGAGACACUGUCCAGACUCCGCCGGAGGCAGCAGUGGGGAAUAUUGCACAAUGGGCGCAAGCCUGAUGCAGCCAUGCCGCGUGUAUGAAGAAGCCCUUAGGGUUGUAAAGUACUUUCAGUCGGGAGGCGUUACCUCCAGAAGAAGCACCGGCUAACUCCGUGCCAGCAGCCGCGGUAAUAC
rnacentral:rRNA from 1 species